rnacentral:tRNA from 1 species
GGAGGGGUUGGGGAGUGGUCAAACCCAUGAGACUGUAAAUCUCCCGCCUUAGGCUUCGAAGGUUCGAAUCCUUCCCCCUCCACCA